UAUUCGUUUGCUGUCUUCUUCUCAAAUCGGCCACAGCCAUUGCUCUCUCUCUCUCUCUUCUCAAAAAAGCUAAAGUCUUUUUGUGAUUUCUGGAGGUUUCUGCUGUGGGUUUUUGUAGAUUGAGGGUGUGAUUUGUGAUUCGUGGGUCAGAAGUAAGAGAGUGGUAUAAGUUAGUCAUGGAUUCGGAUCAAGGAAAGCUUUUUGUCGGUGGUAUCUCAUGGGAAACUGAUGAAGACAAGCUCAGAGAACAUUUCAGCAACUAUGGAGAGGUUUCUCAGGCCAUUGUGAUGAGAGAUAAGCUUACUGGCCGACCUAGGGGUUUUGGCUUUGUUAUCUUUUCGGAUCCUUCUCUUCUCGAUAGGGUUCUUCAAGACAAACACAACAUUGAUACUAGAGAGGUUGAUGUGAAGAAAGCCAUGUCAAGAGAGGAGCAACAAGUCUCUGGAAGAUCUGGGAACCUUAAUCCAUCUAGAAGUUCUGGAGGUGAUGCUUACAAUAAAACCAAGAAGAUCUUUGUUGGAGGCUUGCCACCUACUUUGACAGAUGAAGAGUUUCGCCAGUACUUUGAAGUUUAUGGCCCUGUGACUGAUGUUGCCAUCAUGUAUGACCAGGCUACUAACCGACCUCGUGGGUUUGGAUUUAUUUCCUUCGACUCUGAAGAUGCUGUAGACCGUGUGUUGCACAAGACUUUCCAUGAUUUGAGCGGUAAGCAAGUUGAAGUAAAGCGUGCUCUUCCUAAAGAUGCCAAUCCUGGAGGUGCUGGACGAUCAAUGGGUGGUGGUGGCUCUGGCGGUUACCAGGGUUAUGGUGGCAAUGAAAGCAAUUAUGAUGGACGUAUGGAUUCCAAUAGGUUUAUGCAGCACCAAAAUGUUGGAAAUGGUUUACCAUCUUAUGGGUCUUCUGGUUAUGGUGCUGGGUAUGGAAAUGGUAGUAAUGGUACCGGGUAUGGUGGCUUUGGAUACACUGGUUCUGCUGGAGGUUAUGGUGCAGGUGCUGCUGCUGCAUAUGGAGCGACCAGCAUCCCAGGUGCCGGUUAUGGAAGUAGUACUGGAGUUGCCCAGAGAAACUCAUGGGACAAUCCAGCUCCUAGUGGUUAUGGGAACCCAGGUUAUGGGAGUGGUGCUGCUCAUAGUGGAUAUGGAGUUCCUGGUGCAGCUCCUCCUGCGCAGUCACCAUCUGGCUUUAGUAACCAAGGCUACGGAUAUGGAGGGUACAGUGGAAAUGAUUCUGGUUAUGGGAAUCAAGCUUCAUAUGGUGCAGUUGGUGGGCGUCCUAGUGGUGGCGCUUCAAACAACCCUGGUAGUGGUGGCUACAUGGGAGGCGGUUAUGGUGAUGGAUCUUGGCGAUCUGACCCGUCACAAGGUUAUGGUGGUGGGUACAAUGAUGGUCAGGGUCGACAAGGCUAGUAGUAACUAGGGGAUUAUCACUACCCUGGUUUUUGGAUCCUUAGAUCAAAUCAAAGGCUCCUCAACUUCAUAACGGGGAAUAAUGCUUCAGGGUACUUGGUUAAGAAAGCAGAUAUGGUGAGCAGAAGUCGAUGGAGGACUCAUCGAGGUGUGCUUGAGUUCUUAGGUGGAGCAACGAGUCAUCGGGGUUGAAUCUGAGGUCGGUUUCCUACUUGGAGUUGAGGUAAAUUGCUUGAAGAAUGAAGAGUCAAGUUGUUAGGCUACUUAGGUUCACGGGAAUGAAACAAACAUAGAUACUAAGGCAGCCACAUUGUUAAUAUAUCUUUUGAUAUUGUGGGUGUGGGGUUUUGAUCCGUAGUGGUGGAUAUUAGAUACCAAAUUAUCGCAAUUAUAGAAACUAGUGGAAACACAAAAGUGCAAAGCU